GCUGUAGCGCGGCGUGUAGUUGAUGAAGGUAAAGCCGCGCGCCUGAUCAAUGCAGUGGAACAGCGGGUUCCAGUCAAACAGGUUCAGCAUGAAUGUCGGCAGCGAGUUGGCCAGGAACAUCUUGCCCGAGGCGAUCAUGUUGGCGCGCUG
rnacentral:ncRNA from 1 species